GCCAAUAUUCAUACAAAAGUUGACGGCAAAACGAAAUAGCCCCAACACUGAAAACCCAUAGAAAGCGGUAACUAAAUCCCACACAGGGGCGACUUAAACCCACAACGGGGUGACUUAAACCCACAUCGGGGUGACUUAAAAAAAAACAUAAAACAUAAGAACCAAACCAGCACUAGCACCAUAAACGGAUAAUCAUCACAAGAGCUACAUCAACACACCAAGCAGUAUUUAGAAAAGAGUAAACGCCAAUGAUAGGGAGUUACCGCUGCUGCCUCUGGCUCGCCACCCGGUAACCUCCACUUCUCAUACAACCACACUUAUCGCUGCUGCCUCGCCCGCCAAACGAUAAGACUAACCCGGAGACUUCAUAACUCGACAAGGGGAACUCGCUGCUCGGUCCACACACCUUGGAUACAUACACGACAAACAACUAAAGAAAGAAGCUCACCCAAACACCAUGCAACUGAAGCAUUGCCUACAAAACUUCUCCAUGAACACUCACGGGAGAAGUCACAAACAGCAAGCAACCACUGAACAUAUUACCCUUACAAAAAAACUGCUAAGUCACAACCAUAAAAACGCUCUCCCUUGCCCUAUCAAGCUCACACCAACUCGUCGGUACACCAAACACUCAAACAACCGGCAAAACUAGUCCUAUCCAUAGAAGAACCAGACACUCACCAACGAUGAAAAUUCAGAGUACCAAAACAUAUCGA
rnacentral:lncRNA from 1 species